rnacentral:rRNA from 1 species
GACGAACGCUGGCGGCGUGCUUAACACAUGCAAGUCGAACGGUGAAGGGGUCUGCUUUUGUGGGCCCUGGAUGAGUGGCGAACGGGUGAGUAACACGUGAGUAACCUGCCCCCUUCUUCUGGAUAACCGCAUGAAAGUGUGGCUAAUACGGGAUAUUCUGGGUCUGUCGCAUGAUGGGUCUGGGAAGGAUUGCGCCUUUGGGUGUUUUUGGUGGGGGAUGGGCUCGCGGCCUAUCAGCUUGUUGGUGGGGUGAUGGCCUACCAAGGCGGUGACGGGUAGCCGGCCUGAGAGGGUGGACGGUCACACUGGGACUGAGACACGGCCCAGACUCCUACGGGAGGCAGCAGUGGGGAAUAUUGCACAAUGGGCGCAAGCCUGAUGCAGCGACGCCGCGUGAGGGAUGGAGGCCUUCGGGUUGUAAACCUCUUUCGCCAGUGAAGCAGGCCUGCUCCUUGUGGGUGGGUUGACGGUAGCUGGAGAAGAAGCGCCGGCUAACUACGUG